rnacentral:rRNA from 1 species
UACGUAGGAGACGAGCGUUGUCCGGAGUUACUGGGCGUAAAGGGUGCGCAGGUGGCGGCGCGCGUGGGGGGUGAAAUCGCCCGGCUUAACUGGGCGGGGGCCUUCCAGACGGCGUGGCUUGAGCAGCGGAGGGGGACGUGGAAUUCCGGGUGUAGCGGUGGAAUGCGUAGAGAUCCGGAGGAAGACCGGUGGCGAAGGCGGCCAGCUGGCGCUCACCUGACGCUGAGGCGCGAAGGCAUGGGGAGCGAACGGG